rnacentral:rRNA from 1 species
GACGAACGCUGGCGGCGUGCUUAACACAUGCAAGUCGAACGAAGUGGCGAACGGGUGAGUAACGCGCAAUUAACCUGCCCUUCAGCGGGGGACAACGGUUGGAAACGACUGCUAAUAACGCAUACUGACGGCGGGGAUUGCGUCUGUUUCGCUAGUGGGAGGGGUAACGGCCCACCAAGGCGAUGAUCAGUAGCCGGUAGGAGAGGAGGAACGGCAAAAUUGGGACGGAGACACGGAAAAGACUCAGACGGGAGGCAGCGGUGGGGAAUCGUACGCAAUGGACGAAAGUAUGACGGAGCAACGCAGCGGGAGUGAUGACGGCCUGCGGGUUGUAAGGCUCUGUUAAUCGAGACACGGUACCGGAAUAGAAAGCCACGGCUAACGACGUGCCAGCAGCCGAGGUAAUUC